CGCGAAUGGCUCAUUAUAACAGCUAUAAUUUACUUGAUCUUGACACAAUCCUACUUGGAUAACUGUGGUAAUUCUAGAGCUAAUACAUGCAUUAAAGCUCUGACCUCACGGGAAGAGUGCAUUUAUUAGAACAAAACCAAGCGGCUUCGGCUGUUUCUGGUUGACUCAUAGUAACUGAGCUGAUCGCACGGUCUUGCACCGGCGACGUGUCUUUCAAGUAUCUGCCGUAUCAACUUUCGAUGGUAGUGUAUCUGACUACCAUGGUGAUCACGCGUAACGGAGAAUAAGGGUUCGGCUCCGGAGAGUUCGCCUGAGAAAUCGCGGACACAUCUAAGGAAGGCAGCAGGCGCGAAAAUUACCCACUCUCAGCACGAGGAGGUAGUGACGAAAAAUAACAAGACCGUUCUCUUAUGAGGCCGGUCAUCGGAAUGGGUACAAUUUAAACCCUUUAACGAGUAUCUAUGAGAGGGCAAGUCUGGUGCCAGCAGCCGCGGUAAUUCCAGCU
rnacentral:rRNA from 1 species